rnacentral:rRNA from 1 species
CAUGUAGGCGGCUGCGUAAGUCGGAUGUGAAAGCCCCGGGCUCAACCUGGGAAUUGCAUUCGAAACUGCGUAGCUAGAGUUUGGUAGAGGUAAGUGGAAUUCCGGGUGUAGCGGUGAAAUGCGUAGAUAUCCGGAGGAACAUCAGUGGCGAAGGCGGCUUACUGGACCAAAACUGACGCUGAGGCUCGAAAGCGUGGGGAGCAAACAGGAUUAGAUACCCUGGUAGUCC